AACCUGGUUGAUCCUGCCAGUAGUCAUAUGCUUGUCUCAAAGAUUAAGCCAUGCAUGUCUUAGUAUAAGCUUCUUUACGGCGAAACUGCGAAUGGCUCAUUAAAACAGUUAUAGUUUAUUUGAUGGUCGUUCCUUACAUGGAUAACUGUGGUAAUUCUAGAGCUAAUACAUGCACCCAAACCCGACUCCGCGGAAGGGUUGUGAUUAUUAGUUACAGAACCAUCCCAGGCUCCGCCUGGUUGUGUGGUGAUUCAUAGUAACCCAACGAAUCGCAUGGCAUCAGCUGGCGAUGCAUCAUUCAAGUUUCUGACCUAUCAGCUUCCGACGGUAGUGUAUUGGACUACCAUGGCUUUCACGGGUAACGGAGGAUUAGGGUUCGAUUCCGGAGAGGGAGCCUGAGAAACGGCUACCACAUCUAAGGAAGGCAGCAGGCCCGUAAAUUACCCAAUACUGAUUCAGUGAGGUAGUGACAAGAAAUAGCGGGCCGGCCAAGUGCCGGGACUGAAAUGAUUAGAAUUUAACGACCUUUACGAGGAACAAUUGGAGGGCAAGUCUGGUGCCAGCAGCCGCGGUAAUUCCAGCUCCAAUAGCGUAUAUUAAGAUGUUGCAGUUAAAAAGCUCGUAGUUGGAUUUCUGGCAGCGUGACUCCGGCCGGCAUGACGUCGGGUCCAGAGCGCGCUACCAUCCUUCUGUCAACCUUCGCGGGAUUCAUUUCCCGCCCUGGGGCUCAGAUAUUUUACCUUGAGAAAAUUAGAGUGUUUCAGGCAGGCUUUCGCCGGAAUACAUUAGCAUGGAAUAAUAGAAAAGGACUUCAACCUCUUCUGUUGGUCUGAGAGGCUGUAGGAAUGAUUAAUAGGGAUAGUUGGGGGCAUUAGUACUUGACUGUCAGAGGUGAAAUUCUCCGAUUUGUUAAAGACUAACUUAUGCGAAAGCAUUUGCCAAGGAUGUUUUCAUUAAUCAAGAACGAAAGUUAGGGGAUCAAAGACGAUCAGAUACCGUCCUAGGCUUAACCAUAAACUAUGCCGACUCGGGAUCGGAGGCGCGCAAAAUCGGUCUUCGGCACCGUAUCAGCCCCCCAAGUCUUUGGGUUCUGGGGGGAGUAUGGUCGCAAGGCUGAAACUUAAAGGAAUUGACGGAAGGGCACCACCAGGCGUGGAUCUUGCGGCUCAAUUUGACUCAACACGGGAAAACUCACCAGGUCCAGACAUAGUAAGGAUUGACAGAUUGAUAGCUCUUUCUUGAUUCUAUGGGUGGUGGUGCAUGGGCCGUUCUUAGUUGGUGGAGUGAUUUGUCUGGUUAACUCCGUUAACGAACGAGACCUUAGCCUACUAACUAGUCGCUCCAAUCUUCCCGAUUGGAAGCGACUUCUUAGAGGGUCUUUGUAUGCAAGUACAAGGAAGUUUGAGGCAAUAACAGGUCUGUGAUGCCCUUAGAUGUCCUGGGCCGCACGCGUGCUACACUGACGCAUACAGCGAGCACUCCGGGCCCCGAGAGGCGGCCCGUAAUCAGCAAUAUGCGUCGUGCUGGGGAUAGACCUUUGUAAUUCUGGGUCUUGAACGAGGAAUGCCUAGUGAGCGCACGUCAUCAGCGUGCGUUGAUUACGUCCCUGCCCUUUGUACACACCGCCCGUCGCUCCGACCGAUUUCGAGUGGUCCGGCGAGCCUUUCGGAUUGGCCGCGCCCUGUGCAAGGCCGAGAAGUCAAGCAAACCACAUCACUUAGAGGACGGAGAAGUCGUAACAAGGUUUCCGUAGGUGAACCUGCAGAAGGAUC
rnacentral:rRNA from 1 species